AUACGGAGGAUCCGAGCGUUAUCCGGAUUUAUUGGGUUUAAAGGGUGCGCAGGCGGCCAUUUAAGUCAGCGGUUAAAUCGUUGGGCUCAACCCCAUUCUGCCGUUGAUACUGGGUGGCUUGAUUGCGGUCGAGGUUGGCGGAAUUCGUUGUGUAGCGGUGUAAUGCAUAGAUAUGACGAAGAACACCGAUUGCGUAGGCAGCUGACCAGACCGCAAAUGACGCUCAUGCACGAAAGUGCGGGGAUCGAACAGGAUUAGAUACCCUGGUAGUCCGCACAGUAAACGAUGAAUACUUGUUUUCGGCGAUAUAAUGUCGGAGGCAAAGCGAAAGCGAUAAGUAUUCCACCUGGGGAGUACGCCGGCAACGGUGAAACUCAAAUGAAUUGGCGGGG
rnacentral:rRNA from 1 species